UCCGCUGCGAGGCUACAAAUGCAAGCGCGGCAUUUAAGUCGAAUAUUUGCUGACGUCAUAAGCGUAAUUUAAGUGUCGCUGACCCAGUUUCUGUGCCGACAGAAGAGAUGCCCGAAUCGGUGACUGUAACAGUAGCAGUGACUGAAAACAGUGACAGCGCCGUGUAACAGUGAUUUUCAGUGUUGGAAUUGGCAAAUAUAUUGAACAAAACUUA